GCGCCCUUAGCUAAAUGGAUAUAGCGUUCGGCUCCGGACCGGAAGGCUGCGGGUUCGAUCCCCGCAGGGCGCA
rnacentral:tRNA from 1 species